AGCGAACGCUGGCGGUAGGCCUAACACAUGCAAGUCGAACGGCAGCACAGUAAGAGCUUGCUCUUACGGGUGGCGAGUGGCGGACGGGUGAGGAAUACAUCGGAAUCUACUUUUUCGGGGGGGAUAACGUAGGGAAACUUACGCUAAUACCGCAUACGACCUACGGGUGAAAGCAGGGGAUCUUCGGACCUUGCGCGAUUGAAUGAGCCGAUGUCGGAUUAGCUAGUUGGCGGGGUAAAGGCCCAACAAGGCGACGAUCCGUAGCUGGUCUGAGAGGAUGAUCAGCCACACUGGAAGUGAGACACGGUCCCGACUCCUACGGGAGGCAGCAGUGGGGAAUAUUGGACAAUGGGGGCAAGCCUGAUCCAGCCAUACCGCGUAGGUGAAGAAGGCCUUCGGGUUGUAAAGCCAUUUUGUUGGGAAAGAAAAGAAGCAGGUUAAUACCCCGCUGUUCUGACGGUACCCAAAGAAUAAGCACCGGCUAACUUCGUG
rnacentral:rRNA from 1 species